CCCUGGACGAAGACUGACGCUCAGGUGCGAAAGCGUGGUGAGCAAACAGGAUUAGAUACCCUGGUAGUCCACGCUGUAAACGAUGUCGAUUUGGAGGUUGUGCCCUUGAGGCGUGGCUUCCGGAGCUAACGCGUUAAAUCGACCGCCUGGGGAGUACGGCCGCAAGGUUAAAACUCAAAUGAAUUGACGGGGGCCCGCACAAGCGGUGGAGCAUGUGGUUUAAUUCGAUGCAACGCGAAGAACCUUACCUACUCUUGACAUCCAGAGAACUUUCCAGAGAUGGAUUGGUGCCUUCGGGAACUCUGAGACAGGUGCUGCAUGGCUGUCGUCAGCUCGUGUUGUGAAAUGUUGGGUUAAGUCCCGCAACGAGCGCAACCCUUAUCCUUUGUUGCCAGCGGUUCGGCCGGGAACUCAAAGGAGACUGCCAGUGAUAAACUGGAGGAAGGUGGGGAUGACGUCAAGUCAUCAUGGCCCUUACGAGUAGGGCUACACACGUGCUACAAUGGCAUAUACAAAGAGAAGCGACCUCGCGAGAGCAAGCGGACCUCAUAAAGUAUGUCGUAGUCCGGAUUGGAGUCUGCAACUCGACUCCAUGAAGUCGGAAUCGCUAGUAAUCGUAGAUCAGAAUGCUACGGUGAAUACGUUCCCGGGCCUUGUACACACCGCCCGUCACACCAUGGGAGUGGGUUGCAAAAGAAGUAGGUAGCUUAACCUUCGGGAGGCGCC
rnacentral:rRNA from 1 species